rfam:Triticum urartu cultivar G1812 contig181147, whole genome shotgun sequence.
UUUCUACUCCCUCCGUUUUGAAUUACUUGUCGCGGGUAUGGAUGUAUCUAGAUGUAUUUUAGUUCUAGAUACAUCCAUUUCUGCGACGAGUAAUUUGGAACGGAGGAAGUACAAG